rnacentral:rRNA from 1 species
AGAUGACUCUCGGCAACGGAUAUCUUGGUCCUCGCAUCGAUGAAGAACGUAGCGAAAUGCGAUACUUGGUGUGAAUUGCAGAAUCCCGUGAACCAUCGAGUUUUUGAACGCAAGUUGCGCCCUAAGCUUCCGGGCCGAGGGCAAGCCUGCGUGGGCGCCAAGU